CGUGCGCCUGGGCGACGGCGGCGACUGCAGCGGCGAAGGAACUCCUGGCGACGGCGCGGCAGCCAGCCAGGCUCCCUCUCCUCCACCCCUCCCGUUCCCCUUGGCAGGAGCAGAAGAAGGCAGCAGGGCCUCCACCGCGCCCCUCCCUGCUCGCCCCCAGCUCGACAUGCUGCGAGCAGGAGGAGCAGUCCUCCCUCUUCCCAUGGAAGCUCCUUCCUCUAACUCGUGUUACUCAUGCUGCAGUUCCUAGGCCCUGGACUAUGACGAGGAGCAUGUGUUGGUCGCCCCCGUGCUGGUAGUUUUGGAGCUAGCUGCUGAAGAAUGUUGGAUCUAUACCAAGGUAUCAAUGGCUCCUCCAGAUAUGCCAGCAAGGUGUUCGACAAAAGUCCAGGCAGGUUUUCACCAUGUCCCCUUUGCUACAGAUCUACAUUAGUGGCUUAUAAAAACAAUGUACCCAGGAAAGAAAAGUAC